GCGCUUGUAGCUCAACGGAUAGAGCAUCUGACUACGGAUCAGAAGGUUGGGGGUUCGAAUCCCUCCAAGCGCA
rnacentral:tRNA from 1 species